UACGAAGGGGGCGAGCGUUAUUCGGAAUCACUGGGCGUAAAGCGUGCGUAGGCUGUUUUGUAAGUUGGAAGUGAAAGCCCUGGGCUUAACCCUGGAAUUGCUUUCAAAACUACGAGACUCGGAUUCGGGAGAGGAUAGCGGAAUUGUCAGUGUAGCAGUGAAAUGCGUAGAUAUUGACAGGAACACCAGUGGCGCAAGCGGCUAUCUGGACCGACAUCGACGCUGAGGCACGAAAGCGUGGGGAUCAAACAGG
rnacentral:rRNA from 1 species